ACGUAAUUCUCGCAUUCUGAUCGUUUCUCGCCCAUGAUCUACUAGAGGACAGACGCAUAGAUGACGACAGCGCUCGAUUUUUUUUGAAUUUUGAAUUUGAACCAAUCACAAUUCUUUGCUA